GGCAGGCGGAUCACCUAAGGUCAGGAGUUCAAAACCAGCCCGGCCAACAUGGUGAAACCCUGUCUCUACUAAAAAUGCAAUAAUUAGCCAGGCGUGGUGGUGGGCACCUGUAAUCCCAGCUACUCGAGAGGCUGAGGCAGAAGAAUUGCUCGAACCUGGGAGGUGGAGGUUGCAGUGAGCCGAGAUAGCACCAAUGCACUCCAGCCUGGGUGACAGAGCGAGACUGCAUCUCAAAUAAAUAAAUUAAAAAUAUAAAAAGUUUAAAAAGCACCUGUGACUUGAGUCUAUUUAUUUUCAGUUGUUUUACUCAGCUAAGGAAAAUAAAGGUAGAAACUUUGUUUUUAAGAGCUUCUGAAAAGGACAUAGCCCCUCCUCCUGAAGAAUGCCUUCAGCUCCUCAGCAGAGCCACCCAGGUGUUCAGAGAGCAGUACAUUCUCAAACAGGACUUGGCAAAGGAGGAGAUUCAGCGGAGGGUCAAAUUAUUAUGUGACCAAAAAAAGAAACAACUAGAAGAUCUCAGUUAUUGUCGAGAAGAGAGGUAAGUGUCAAAAAUAAGAAGAAUACAAUAGGUCAGUAAGACUGGAACCAUAUUCUCACCC
rnacentral:lncRNA from 10 species